rnacentral:rRNA from 1 species
AGUUCGGAUUGCAGGCUGCAACCCGCCUGUAUGAAGUUGGAAUCGCUAGUAAUCGCGGAUCAGCAUGCCGCGGUGAAUACGUUCCCGGGCCUUGUACACACCGCCCGUCACACCAUGAGAGUCGGGAACACCCGAAGUCCGUAGUCUGACCGCAAGGGGACGCGGCCGAAGGUGGGUUCGAUAAUUGGGGUGAAGUCGUAACAAGGUAGC